AGUUGACCUUGAGAUAUGAUGGGGUAAACCAAAAGAUAUUUGAGCUCCUUGCUUGACCUGAUGCAUAUGCAUGCUUCGCACGGAACUAUAUAUAUAGGGUUUUUCAUGCAGCAACUGCUGGUCGAUCGAGAUCCCUCUGGAAUUGUCUGGGUUUUGGCUCGGUUAAAUUAAAUCUGCUAAUUGUAGCAUAACACUAACUUUUUUUAAAAAAGGAGAGAGAAUCACACUUCCUCCAACACACCUGUUAACAAGUAAAGACCUAUUUGGAUCUAUAUUAAUUAGCAGCAUGGAUUCAACACAUAUGCUAUACGAC
rnacentral:lncRNA from 1 species